rnacentral:lncRNA from 13 species
AUGUGUGGGGUAGCGGAGUGUCUGCUGGUGAGAAAUAACACAAACAGGCAGGCACGAGGACUGAAGGGAGUGUGGAGGAGAGGAAUGAGUAGAAAAGGAGAUCACUCCCUGAUCCUGAUAGCCACGGCAGCCGUACAGCUGCUAUUUAUAAAGAGCAAAAAGGCAUUCACAUGGAGCUGCUUGCAUCCCACAUCAGCCUGGCCACGGAAGAAAAGUUUGCGGCAUGACAGCCCCAAGGGCUCACACUCUCCUGCAGUCUUAGUCAGAGAGCCCUGUGAGAAAGCUUUUAACCCCUCAGCUGCCACAACACACCACUUAACAAGCUGUUUUUUAAGGCUUUCACAAACAUCCACUGUGACUGGAGAAACGUCUUCAUUGACUGGAGAAACGUCUUUAUUGACUGGAGAAAUGUCUUUAUUGACUGGAGAAAUGUCUUCAUUGACUGGAGAAAUGUCUUUAUUGACUGGAGAAAUGUCUUUAUUGACUGGAGAAAUGUCUUUAUUGACUGGAGAAAUGUCUUCAUUGACUGGAGAAAUUACUUCGUUGAAUUUUGCCAGUGUGGUGAUUGCUAGUUGUAUCAUAAAUCAGUUACAGAAUUGUUAAAAAUACAGUUUUUUCAAGGUGUGUCUGUAAUGUGAUGUUUUGUUUUUACUUUAAAAAAGCAAAAAGCCAAUUUGAAAUUGAAAACAUCAGUCCUGGACUGAAGUACUUCAUGCUUUUACUCUCUGUUCCGGACGUACUAGACGACCAGUUCUUAUAGCCUUUAGCCGUACCCUUAUCCUACUCCUCCUCUGGUGAUGUAGCGGUUAAUCCAGGUCCUGCAGUGCCUAGCUCCACUCCUAUUCCCCAGAUUCUCUCAUGUGUUGACUUCUGUAACCGUACAAGCCUUGGUUUCAUGCAAGUUAACAUUAGAAGCCUCCUCCCUAAGUUUGUUAUAUUCACUGCUUUAGCACACCAUGCCAACCCUGAUGUCCUAGCCGUGUGUCUGAAUCCUGGCUUAGGAAAACCCUGAAAUUUCCAUCCCUAACUAUAGAAUUUUCCAACAAGACAGAACUGCCAAAGGGGGCAGUGUUGCAAUCUACUGCAGAGAUAGCCUGCAGAGUUCUGUCUUACUAUCCAGGUCUGUACCCAAACAAUUUGAGCUUCUACUUUAAAAAUCCACCUUUCCAGAAACAAGUCUCUCACUGUUGCCGCUUGUUAUAGACCACCCUCUGCCCCCAGCUGAGCUCUGGACACCAUAUGUGAACUGAUUGCCCCCCAUCUAUCUUCAUAGCUUGUGCUGCUAGGUGACCUAAACUGGGACAUGUUUAACACCCCGGCCAUCCUACAAUCUAAGCUUGAUGCCCUCAAUCUCACACAAAUUAUCAAUGAACCCACCAGGUACAAUCCCAAAGCUGUAAACAGGGAACCCUCAUAGAUAUCAUCCUAACCAACUUGCCCUCCAAAUACAUCUCUGCUGUUUUCAACAAAGAUCUCAACGAUCACUGCCUCAUUGCUUGCAUCCGUAAUGGGUCUGCGGUCAAACGACCACCCCUCAUCACUGUCAAAAGCUCCAUAAAACACUUCAGCGAGCAGGCCUUUCUAAUUCACCUGGCCCGGGUAUCCUGGAAGGAUAUUGACCUCAUCCCGUCAGUCGAGGAUGCCUGGUUAUUCUUUAAAAGUGCCUUCCUCACCAUCUUAAAUAAGCAUGCCCCGUUUAAAAAAUGUAGAACCAGGAACAGAUAAAGCCCUUGCUUUACUCCAGACCUGACUGCCCUUGACCAGCUCAAAAACAUCCUGUGGUGUUCUGCAUUAGAAUCGAAUAGCCCCCGUGAAAUUAAACUUUUCAGGGAAGUUAGGAACCAAUAUACACCGGCAGUUAGGAAAGCUAAGGCUAGCUUUUUCAAACUGAAAUGUGCAUCCUGUAGCACAAACACAAAAAAGUUAUGAGACACUGUAAUGUCCAUGGAGAAUAAGAGCACCUCAUCCCAUAUGCCCACUGCACUAAGGGUGUGAAACACUGUCAUCACCAAUGAAUCCACUAUAAUUGAGAAUUUCAAUAAGCAUUUUUCUAUGGCUGGCCAUACUUUCCACCUGGCAACCCCUAACCCGGUCAACAGCCCUGCACCCACCACAGCAACUCGCCCAAGCCUCCCCAUUUAUCCUUCAGCCAAAUCCAGAUAGCUGAUGUUCUGAAAGAGCUGCAAAACCUGGAUCUCUACAAAUCAGACGGGCUAGACUAUCUGGACCCUCUCUUUCGAUCUGCCAAAAUUCUUGCAACCCCUAUUACUAGCCUGUUCAACCUCUCUUUCGUAUCGUCUGAGAUUCCCAAAGAUUAGAAAGCAGCCACGGUCAUCACCCUCUUGAAAAGGUGGAGACACUAUAGACCCAAACUACUACAGACCUAUAUCUAUCCUACCCUGCCUUUCUAAGGUCUUCGAAAGAUAAGUUAACAAAGAGAUUAUCGACCAUUUCGAAUCCCGCCGUACCUUCUCCGUUUGAGGUUGUGGACAGGUGUCUUUUACACUCAUAACAAGUUCAAACAGGUGCCAUUAAUACAGGUAACGAGUGGAGGACAGAGGAGCCUCUUACAGAAGAAGUUACAGGUCUGUGAGAGCCAGAAAUCUUGCUUGUUUGUAGGUGACCAAAUACUUAUUUUCCACCAUAAUUUGCAAAUAAAUUCAUAAAAAAUCCUACAAUGUGAUUUUCUGUAUUUUUUCUCUCAUUUUGUCUGUCAUAGUUGAAGUGUACCUAUGAUGAAAAUUACAGGCCUCUCUCAUCAUUUUAAGUGGGAGAACUUGCACAAUUGGUGGAUGACUAAAUACUUUUUUUGCCCCACUGUACCUAGGUGUCUGGUUAGACUGUAAACUCUACUUCCAGACUCACAUUAAACAUUAACAAUCCAAAAUGAAAUCUAGAAUCGGCUUCCUAUUUCGCAACAUAGCAUCCUUCACUCAUGCUGCCAAACAUACCCUCGUAAAACUGACAAUCCUACCGAUCCUUGACUUUGGCGAUGUCAUUUACAAAAUAGCCUCCAACACUCUACUCAACAAAUUGGAUGCAGUCUUUCACAGUGCCAUCCGUUUUGUCACCAGAGCCCCGUAUACUCCCCACCACUGCGACCUGUAAGCUCGCUUUGGCUGGCCCUUGCUUUAUACUCGUCGCCAAACCCACUGGCUCCAGGUCAUAUAUAAGUCUUUGCUAGGUCUAGCCCCGCCUUAUCUCAGCUCACUGGUCACCAUAGCAGCACCCACCCGUAGCAUGCGCUCCAGCAGGUAUAUCUCACUGGUCACCCCCAAAGCCAAUUCCUCUUUGGCCGCCUUUCCUUCCAAUUCUCUGCUGCUAAUGACUGGAACUAACUGCAAAAAUCACUGAAGCUGGAGACACAUAUCUUCCUCACCAGCUUUAAGCACCAGCUGUCAGAGCAGCUCACAGAACACCGCACCUGUACAUAGCCCAUCUGUAAAUUGCCCAUCCAACUACCUCAUCCCCAUACUGCAUUUAUUUAUUUAUCUUGCUCCUUUGCACCCCAGUCUCUCUACUUGCACAUUCAUCUUCUGCACAUCUAUCACUCCAGUGUUUAAUUGCUAUAUCGUAAUACCUCGCCACUAUGGCCAAUUUGAUUGACUUGCCUCCCGUAUCUAGCCUCAUUUGCACACAAUGUAUAUAGACUUUUCUUUCUACUGAAUUAUUGAUUUAUGUUUGUUUAUUCCAUGUGUAACUCUGUGAUGUUGUAUGUGUCGAACUGCUUUGCUUUAUCUUGGCCAGGUCGCAGUUGUAAAUGAGAGCUUGUUCUCAACUAGCCUGCCUGGUUAAAUGAAGGUGUUCUCAACUAGCCUACCUGGUUAAAUGAAGGUGUUCUCAACUAGCCUGCCUGGUUAAAUAAAGGUGUUCUCAACUAGCCUGCCUGGUUAAAUAAAGGUGUUCUCAACUAGCCUGCCUGGUUAAAU